rnacentral:rRNA from 1 species
UGGGGAAUUUUGCACAAUGGGCGGAAGCCUGAUGCAGCGACGCCGCGUGGAGGACGAAGGCCUUCGGGUUGUAAACUCCUUUUAUCGGGGAAGAUAAUGACGGUACCCGAUGAAUAAGCCACGGCUAACUCUGUGCCAGCAGCCGCGGUAAGACAGAGGUGGCAAGCGUUGUUCGGAAUUACUGGGCUUAAAGGGCGCGUAGGCGGUGGGACAAGUCUGAGGUGGAAUUCUAGAGCUUAACUGUAGGAUUGCCUUGGAAACUGUUUCACUUGAGUCGGACAGGGGAAGGCGGAAUUCCUGGUGUAGCGGUGAAAUGCGUAGAUAUCAGGAGGAAGGCCUGUGGCGAAGGCGGCCUUCUGGGUCUUGACUGACGCUGAGGCGCGAAAGCGUGGGGAGCAAACAGG